AUUGAACGCUGGCGGCAGGCUUAACACAUGCAAGUCGAGCGGGGAUGAGGUGCUUGCACCUUAUCUUAGCGGCGGACGGGUGAGUAAUGCUUAGGAAUCUGCCUAUUAGUGGGGGACAACAUUUCGAAAGUGAUGCUAAUACCGCAUACGUCCUACGGGAGAAAGCAGGGGAUCUUCGGACCUUGCGCUAAUAGAUGAGCCUAAGUCGGAGUAGCUAGUUGGUGGGGUAAAGGCCUACCAAGGCGACGAUCUGUAGCGGGUCUGAGAGGAUGAUCCGCCACACUGGGACUGAGACACGGCCCAGACUCCUACGGGAGGCAGCAGUGGGGAAUAUUGGACAAUGGGGGGAACCCUGAUCCAGCCAGCCGCGUGUGUGAAGAAGGCCUUUUGGUUGUAAAGCACUUUAAGCGAGGAGGAGGCUACUAGUACUAAUACUACUGGAUAGUGGACGUUACUCGCAGAAUAAGCACCGGCUAACUCUGUGCCAGCCGCCGCUGUAA
rnacentral:rRNA from 1 species